rnacentral:rRNA from 1 species
AACGAACGCUGGCGGCAUGCCUAACACAUGCAAGUCGAACGAGACCUUCGGGUCUAGUGGCGCACGGGUGCGUAACGCGUGGGAACCUGCCCUUAGGUUCGGAAUAACUCCCCGAAAGGGGUGCUAAUACCGGAUAAUGUCUUCGGACCAAAGAUUUAUCGCCUUUGGAUGGGCCCGCGUUGGAUUAGCUAGUUGGUAGGGUAAAAGCCUACCAAGGCGACGAUCCAUAGCUGGUCUGAGAGGAUGAUCAGCCACACUGGGACUGAGACACGACCCAGACUACUACGGGAGGCAGCAGUGGGGAAUAUUGGACAAUGGGCGAAAGCCUGAUCCAGCAAUGCCGCGUGAGUGAUGAAGGCCUUAGGGUUGUAAAGCUCUUUUACCCGGGAUGAUAAUGACAGUACCGGGAGAAUAAGCUCCGGCUAACUCCGUG